rnacentral:rRNA from 1 species
ACGACCUCAAAUCAGAUAGGACUACCCGCUGAACUUAAGCAUAUCAAUAAGCGGAGGAAAAGAAAACAAUCGUGAUACCACU